rnacentral:lncRNA from 1 species
ACUCACUUCCCAUUUGCUGACUGCCUUCAUCAGAUCAGAAACGCCUGAACCAGAGUACAGUAUACAUACGUCUCAGCAGAGCACAAGGCAAAGGAAAUUUCAACCAAAAUCCAAUAAUCAGAAGAAUGGAUUCCAGCCAGUCUUUCAACCAGCCUUCAGGGGCCUUCAAUUCAUCUGAGAAAUCAGUGAUGUUGCAGCCUGUAGCACCACCACCAGUAUACCAGAACAAUCCUGCUGGAUAUUCUCCCUCCUUACCAAGCCAGGCAGUCCCCCAAGGCCCCUACGCCCAGGGGCCGUAUCCAGGACAGUCUGUGGUCGCUAUGCAGCCUGCAGUUUUUGUGCCCACCACUCCACUGGCCAAUCCAGUGCCGGAGUACACAUGCUAUUCCAUCUUCACCAUGCUGUGCUGCAGCUUUCAUCUGGGCACUGCUGCACUGGUUUACUCCCUCUCUACUCGAAAUGCCAACUACUCAGGACAGCGAGAAUUAGCAGAGAGGAACUCCAAAACUGCACGUACCCUGAAUCAUGUCGCUGUUGCUCUUGGCAUCGUUUGCACUGUAUUGCUUCUUGUCUACAUGUUUGUGUUGAGGAAAAAUAUGUAGCCUGUCCCUAACUGUUAAAGCUGUUAAACCUGUCGGAAGCAGAUUAUGUUACAAACAAAUUUGAUUCUCUUGAUUGUAAGCAUUAUUAGUUUAGUGUGUCAAUAUCCACCCAGUAAAACAAGCUUUAACUAUUGGAUGUUUUAAACAAUACAAGCGUUUACUGAGCAACCAAAUACACAAAAUAAUGUUCUUUUUAGCAACAUCAUAUGACCCCUUUAAUUUAACAUGAAAAAAACAGUACUUAUUCUUGUUUAUUAUAGAAUUGCCAACAAUUGCCUGUCAUCUUCUUUUAGCCAAAUGUAGGCAUAUCUGUUUUUGUUCUCUUUACAUCUAUAAUGUUUUUAGACCUUUUUGCUUAUCGUAAAUAUACUGUGUGUAGCUAAUUAUUUUACAUAGGCCUACUUUUGUAGGCUAUUAUAUUUUUACACAUUUGUAUGGACAUAAAUAUUCCAGUAGUCCACAUUGUUAAAAGGCACUAUAUAAAUAAAACUAUAUAAUAAUACAUCUCAUUAUAUUGCAUUUAUUUCAUUAUACAUUUCAUUUUAGAUCUAUCUAUCUAUCUAUCUAUCUAAUCUGAUUGUACAACCCACAUACAUGUGUGUAUGUUUUCAAGAGCCCCAUGCAACUGAGUUGUCAUUCUUGUUUUGUAAAGACAUUUUACAAAAGAAAACAUUGCAUAAAUCCUGUUUUAUAACAGUGUGUGAUUGUUGGGUGACAAUUAUUGCUAGCGUCAUAAAAGAAUCAAUUAAUCUGAGACAUAUGUAGUGUUUUGUACUUUUAGUGCAUUUUGAAUGUGAAAUUAACUGCUGUGCCAAGCUGAAAGUUGGUAAGGAGAACUGCAAAAGUGUUUUGCAAAAGUCACCUAUAUUGAGAAGUGUAUCCCAGAGAAUGUAAAUAAAAACUGUAAUUGAAGGGCAGGAAGAUCAGCCCAAAAACAUGCUCAGGAAUCAUAAAAUCAUUCCCAUCUGUGUCCUAAGACCUUUUUUUCCCCCUAAAUUCAUAAUGUUACAUGUUGAUUCCACCAGGUGGCGCCUGCAG